rnacentral:misc_RNA from 1 species
UGUCACCGGAUUACAUCAAAAAUUUUUAAAUUUGUCCUCGUUGAUUUACGUACGGAAUAUUAUAUAAUUGGAGCAAUUGAGCGUAUUGCAAGACGAGCGGACGCACUUAGACCACAUUGGCAAUAUUGUUAUUAAUUUGCGAAAUACGUGAUAGUGCCUGCCCUGAUGCAAUAAUUAUAGCUUUAGCCAAACAAGAAUGUUGAAACGCCAAGAUUAGAGACCGGCGUUUGCCUGCCUCAGCGUGCACAUCGGAUAUAAAAGUGAACGGGCUUUUGCUAACUGGUUCAGUGCGUGAUAGGUCGUGUCUGUGGUUUAGUGCGAAUUCAAAAUGUACGAAAAAAUCAACAUCGAUCUGAUGAACAAUUCUGGGAUCCGGAUUGUGGAUCUUAGAAGCGACACGGUGAGCAGGCCGACCCCAGAAAUGCGAGAAGCGAUGUACAGGGCUGCGGUAGGCGACGACGUCUAUGGGGAGGAUCCUACAGUGGCUGAACUUGAAACUCGUGCCGCUGAGCUGCUCGACAAAGAACAAGCUGUGUUUGUUGCCAGUGGAACGAUGGCUAACUUAAUUGCUAUUAUGGUUCAUUGCAAUCAGAGGGGCAGCGAAAUCAUUUCUGGAGACCAUGGGCAUACCUUUAAGUUCGAGCAAGGUGGCACCGCGCAAAUCGCAGGGGUGCACACUGCAGUGAUAAAAAACAACGAGGAUGGCACUUUCAGCAUUGAUGAUCUGCGCAAGAAAAUUCGAAAAAACCCCGAUUUCCACGAGCCGAUUUCCUCUCUCAUUAUAGUCGAGAAUACACAUAAUCUAUGCGGUGGCAAGGUGUUGCCUCUGGAGUGGCUGGAGAAGGUGCAAAACGUGGCCCAAGAACACAACUUGCCAGUGCACAUGGAUGGGGCCCGCAUGAUGAAUGCAGCUGUUUAUCUAAAAGUGCCCCCCAGUCGCAUCGUAAAAGACGUGGACUCAGUUUGCUUUUGUCUGAGCAAAGGGCUGGGAUGUCCUGUUGGGGCCAUUUUAGCCGGAACCUCCGAGUUUAUCGCCAAGGCUCGGCGCGUUCGAAAGGCCAUAGGCGGAGGAUGGAGGCAGGCCGGAAUUAUAGCGGCCGCCGGAUUAGUAGCGUUUGAUAGCAUGAUUGAUCGGCUGCAGGAGGACCACAACCAUGCCUACCAAAUAGCGAAAGGUAUAGCGGGUCUCAACUCCAGAUAUUUCCAAGUGAAUUUGAGCGAAAUACACACAAAUAUUGUCAUCAUGAAUUUGGAUCCGAAAAUUAGUCCCAAAUUUGCACAGAAAAGAUUAUUCACUGUAUACGCAACCGAUCCAGUGAAAGUGAGCGUGCAAUGCAGCGCUCGGGAUGACUGGAUUCGUUUUGUGACCUGUUGGGAAGUGUCGGACGAGGCCACCAAAAUGGCAAUGGAAAAAAUCGUGUUUGUUUUAACGGAAAUUGAACGGGAAAUUCAGGAUCCUGGCUGCGGAACGCAAAAACUGGAUUUGGCUUAUUUGCAAACUCAAGCGGCCAUUGAGGCACAGAACAAAAAGUCUAAGCUGUAAAACAAAUCGAAUACAGCGCCUAGCGGUUUAUGGAUGGCAUGGACGUAAAAGCGAAUUGCUUCAAACAUCGGCCAUUCAGCAACAACAUUGAGAACGAGGAAGUAAUUUGCACCGUUUGUAGUGUAGGUGAUAAUGCUUGUUUUUUACGAGCAUAUCGUAGUAAAUUCAUAGUU